GUGAAUCAUCAAAUUUUUGAACGCAUAUUGCACUCUUUGGUAUUCCGGAGAGUAUGCCUGUUUGAGGGUCAUUAAGUAGAAUCUUUACCAAUUUUUUUUGGUCAAAGGAAAUGAGUUCUCUGCGCUUAUAGCGGUAGCUUGAAAUAAAUGGUCAAGUUUCAUUUUCGUCGAGAUGUGUAAUAUUAUCAUUACGCGAAAUCUUCAUUAUGAGAUUAUUAAGCUUUGAUGCAUACAAAUUUGGUUUGUAUGCGAUUAAUCUAAACAUUUUGAACAUUAC
rnacentral:misc_RNA from 1 species